CCCAUUUCCAUGCAUGGAGAUUUCAGUAAUACCCGGUUACAGAAACUCAGAGUUCAGGCAAUUUGUUUUGUAACAAAGCUACUUUGAAAACACAGCGGUCUCAUCUGAACAAGCACCAUCACUGGAUGGCAUUGUAUAGCAAUUUUGCCUUGAUGUACUCUCACACGUACCCUCAUAAGGUCAAGCUACUGUACUCGCUACAGCGACGCAUAAAAGAAUUUACUUUGUUGUUUAGAGCUUUUUAUUAUCAUCUGCAUAUUUGUGUUCUGUCACAGUGACACAAAAUGUAUCACAAAAUGCAGUCAUCCAUUUCCAAAAUAACUUUUUCUUCCAAAGCAUUUAUGGUUUGACUUUGACCUAGACACCAAAGCAGAAGAGACCUACUGACUGGAGGCAUUAUUUAUGAGAGGCUUUUAAAGAACACAAUAGAAAUUCAGUCAGAAAAUUAUACGGAAAGGAAAGCAAAUUACAGAGAGGACAGAAGGGCACCUGGCAACUCGACAGCAAUGGUGGGUCAAGAAGGCUGCAGCGUUGUGGAGGUAAAAGUGGGGAAGGAUGGAGACUUCUAACCUACAGUUCUUCUGAUUUCUGUUGUUACAAGACCUGCUCUUAAACUCAUCAAGCCCUGAAGUGCAUUGAUCUCAGCUUGAGCUCUGUGUUUGGAGGGCUGGAAAAUCAUGCCAGCAGUUACUCCAGCACCAGUAUAAGUGGUCAUGUUCACUUCUCUUCCCUGAAGAGCUGGGGAAUUAUGAAGGAGCCCCUACCCUGGAGUCAUCCAGGUUCCUCUUACCUGUCCUGUCUGCCUGCGCUUCCUCCUCAGAGGAGCAGCUUUCCUUUCAGAGUGCCUGCGCUUUCUCCUGGGGGGGACAAUUGUGCCACUUGUACCAAACAAGAUGAUCCCAGACU